CACACCGCCCGUCACACCACGAAAAGCCGGCUGUACCAGAAGUCGCUGCGCCAACCGCAAGGAGGCAGGCGCCGAAGGUAUGGUCGGUGAUUGGGUG
rnacentral:rRNA from 1 species